rnacentral:rRNA from 1 species
CGUGUCGUGAGAUGUUGGGUUAAGUCCCGCAACGAGCGCAACCCUUAAGCUUAGUUGCCAUCAUUAAGUUGGGCACUCUAAGUUGACUGCCGGUGACAAACCGGAGGAAGGUGGGGAUGACGUCAAAUCAUCAUGCCCCUUAUGAUUUGGGCUACACACGUGCUACAAUGGACAAUACAAAGGGCAGCGAAACCGCGAGGUCAAGCAAAUCCCAUAAAGUUGUUCUCAGUUCGGAUUGUAGUCUGCAACUCGACUACAUGAAGCUGGAAUCGCUAGUAAUCGUAGAUCAGCAUGCUACGGUGAAUACGUUCCCGGGUCUUGUACACACCGCCCGUCACACCACGAGAGUUUGUAACACCCGAAGCCGGUGGAGCAACCUUUUAGGAGCUAGCCGUCGAAGGUGGGACAAAUGAUUGGGGUGAAGUCGUAACAAGGUAGCCGUAUCGGAAGGUGCGGCUGGAUCACCUCCUUUCUAAGGA